UACGGAGGGUGCGAGCGUUGUCCGGAAUCACUGGGCGUAAAGGGCGCGUAGGCGGCCAUAUAAGUCGGGGGUGAAAGCCUGUGGCUCAACCACAGAAUUGCCUUCGAUACUGUAUGGCUCGAGACCGGAAGAGGUAAGUGGAACUGCGAGUGUAGAGGUGAAAUUCGUAGAUAUUCGCAAGAACACCAGUGGCGAAGGCGGCUCACUGGUCCGGUUCUGACGCUGAGGCGCGAAAGCGUGGGGAGCAAACAGG
rnacentral:rRNA from 1 species